UGGGGACCAUAUUUCAAAACUGUCACAUGGAGAUUUAGGGAAAACCUCCUGGAAGAAGUGGCUUGGCUAAGUUUUGAAAAGUGCAUAGGGGUGAGAACAGGGAGAGAAGAGGAAAGAGGACAUGCUGUGGAGGGGCCAGCAAACGAGAAACUCAGGAGGCAGAAAAUCUCAGCAUGCAAAACAGGAAACAAGGAUACACAUAUCUAUACCGGUGGCUCUCAUUGGGUGCAAUUUUGCCACGUCUGAAAGCAUUUUUGGUUAUCACAACUUGGGAGCAGCUGCUGGCAUCUAAAAAUGAAAAUCAUGGUAUUCCAGAGACUGGCGAUGAUG
rnacentral:lncRNA from 1 species